AUUGAACGCUAGCGGGAUGCUUUACCCAUGCAAGUCGAACGAGUGGCGGACGGGUGAGUAGUAUAUCGGAACGUGCCCAGUAGCGGGGGAUAACUACUCGAAAGAGUGGCUAAUACCGCCUACUAUUGGGGCGGCCGAUAUCGGAUUAGCUGGUGGGUGGGGUAAAGCCGCAUCAAGGCCACGAUCCGUAGCUGGUUUGAGAGGACGACCAGCCACACUGGAACUGAGACACGGCCCAGACUCCUACGGGUGGCAGCAGUAGGGAAUUUUGGACAAUGGGGGCGACCCUGAUCCAGCCAUCCCGCGUGUAUGAGAAGGCCUACGGGUUGUAAAGUACUUUAGGCAGAGAAGCGGUAUCUGCAGAAUAAGCACCGGCUAACUACGUGCCAGCCGCCGCGGUAAUUC
rnacentral:rRNA from 1 species